rnacentral:misc_RNA from 1 species
GAAAUGCGAUAAUUAAUGUAAAUUGCAGAAUUCAGUGAAUCAUCGAGUCUUUGAACGCACAUUGCGCCCCCUGGUAUUCCGGGGGGCAUGCCUGUCCGAGCGUCAUUGCUGCCCUCAAGCACGGCUUGUGUGUUGGGCUUCCGUCCCUGGCAACGGGGACGGGCCCAAAAGGCAGUGGCGGCACCAUGUCUGGUCCUCGAGCGUAUGGGGCUUUGUCACCCGCUCCCGUAGGUCCAGCUGGCAGCUAGCCUCGCAACCAAUCUUUUUAACCAGGUUGACCUCGGAUCAGGUAGGGAUACCCGCUGAACUUAAGC